GGAAACUGAGGCCUGGGGGGAGCAGUGGGAGGUGUCAAGGCCCCUCAGCUGGCAGUUAUGUGUCACAGCUGUGACCCGGUCACGGUCCCCCUGACUCCUCUGUUGUGCCCGCUUCGUGGGACGGUCGUUACUAGAUGCUGAGGAUGUCACAGUAAAUAUGACAAAGGUGGACCUCCCCGUGGACAGGAGAGUCGGGGGCAGCAAAGACUGUCAGCCAGGAUGAGGUUCAUCUCCAGUGCCGGCAACCCGACCACAGACGCUCGGACACACUCGGGGCCCGUCCCCUCCACUGUGCUACCUGGCCCACCCACUGCAGCUCAGGCCAUGGGGAAGAGCGAUGGAGCCCGCAGAUGUUACGUCAAGUCAUCCUCCCGGCAACCGUGCGAGGGCCUCCAGGUUGGUUACAGGCGAGAAGUCUGAGGCCCCCAGGGGUGAGGGACCCCAAAGGGCCAUGCACAGCUUGAGGCAGAGCUGGGACCACCACACCUCUGCUCCCAGAAACAGCAUCUGGAAUUCUUUCCACAGCUCUGUGUUGCCGCCUUCAAAACUAGCCUGCCGGGGCACGGCCGCCCAUUAUUUGUGCCGUUUAAAAUUUUACACUGGGUGGGAGUGAGACAAAUGGGAAGGAAAGCAGCUGGGCUGUUUAUUGGAAGAGCGAGCGUGCCAGCCACAGGCGAUGGCCGAGAGCGAUGCUCGCCCCUCUGAACCAAAACAGCGGCAGCGCACACUCCUCUGGCGAGAAGAGCAGAGUGGGGGGCACGAUUACCCCUGUGGGCCUCUGACAGAGGGCUUUGCCCUGAUUUCUUUGUUUUUUCGUUUUCGCGCAGGGGGGUGGGGGUUGUGUUUUGAGCAUAGGGAAUGGCUGGCGACAGCAGGAGCCACAACGCCAGACUGGAUUCCAGGAUCCCAUCGUCUAGGGUUCCUCCUCGAGUCCAGCAGGAGUCCUGUUUUCUGCAGUUGAAGAGAAUGGCCUGAGUUUUCCCUUGAAUACAAGGACAGCUAUUUAUUGACAUAUAAGCUUUCAUGGAUUUAGAACCCUCAAGUCGUUCUUCCUUAAGGAUAUAAAAAGUUUGAAAAUA